rnacentral:rRNA from 1 species
UACGUAGGGAGCAAGCGUUGUCCGGAAUCAUUGGGCGUAAAGCGCGCGUAGGUGGCUUCGUAAGUCCGUUGUGAAAGUCAAGGGCUCAACCCUUGAAAGCCGGUUGAUACUGUCGGGCUAGAGUCCGGAAGAGGCGAGUGGAAUUCCCGGUGUAGCGGUGAAAUGCGCAGAUAUCGGGAGGAACACCAAUGGCGAAGGCAGCUCGCUGGGACGGUACUGACGCUGAGACGCGAAGGCGUGGGGAGCAAACAGG